GACGAACGCUGGCGGCGUGCUUAGCACAUGCAAGUCGAACGGAAAGGCCCUGCUUUUGUGGGGUGCUCGAGUGGCGAACGGGUGAGUAACACGUGAGUAACCUGCCCUUGACUUUGGGAUAACUUCAGGAAACUGGGGCUAAUACCGGAUAGGAGCUCCUGCUGCAUGGUGGGGGUUGGAAAGUUUCGGCGGUUGGGGAUGGACUCGCGGCUUAUCAGCUUGUUGGUGGGGUAGUGGCUUACCAAGGCUUUGACGGGUAGCCGGCCUGAGAGGGUGACCGGCCACAUUGGGACUGAGAUACGGCCCAGACUCCUACGGGAGGCAGCAGUGGGGAAUAUUGCACAAUGGGCGGAAGCCUGAUGCAGCAACGCCGCGUGCGGGAUGACGGCCUUCGGGUUGUAAACCGCUUUCGCCUGUGACGAAGCGUGAGUGACGGUAAUGGGUAAAGAAGCACCGGCUAACUACGUGCCAGCAGCCGCGGUGAUACGUAGGGUGCGAGCGUUGUCCGGAUUUAUUGGGCGUAAAGGGCUCGUAGGUGGUUGAUCGCGUCGGAAGUGUAAUCUUGGGGCUUAACCCUGAGCGUGCUUUCGAUACGGGUUGACUUGAGGAAGGUAGGGGAGAAUGGAAUUCCUGGUGGAGCGGUGGAAUGCGCAGAUAUCAGGAGGAACACCAGUGGCGAAGGCGGUUCUCUGGGCCUUUCCUGACGCUGAGGAGCGAAAGCGUGGGGAGCGAACAGGCUUAGAUACCCUGGUAGUCCACGCUGUAAACGGUGGGUACUAGGUGUGGGGUCCAUUCCACGGGUUCCGUGCCGUAGCUAACGCUUUAAGUACCCCGCCUGGGGAGUACGGCCGCAAGGCUAAAACUCAAAGGAAUUGACGGGGCCCCGCACAAGCGGCGGAGCAUGCGGAUUAAUUCGAUGCAACGCGUAGAACCUUACCUGGGUUUGACAUGGAUCGGGAGUGCUCAGAGAUGGGUGUGCCUCUUUUGGGGUCGGUUCACAGGUGGUGCAUGGCUGUCGUCAGCUCGUGUCGUGAGAUGUUGGGUUAAGUCCCGCAACGAGCGCAACCCUUGUUCACUGUUGCCAGCACGUUAUGGUGGGGACUCAGUGGAGACCGCCGGGGUCAACUCGGAGGAAGGUGGGGAUGACGUCAAGUCAUCAUGCCCCUUAUGUCCAGGGCUUCACGCAUGCUACAAUGGCUGGUACAGAGAGUGGCGAGCCUGUGAGGGUGAGCGAAUCUCGGAAAGCCGGUCUCAGUUCGGAUUGGGGUCUGCAACUCGACCUCAUGAAGUCGGAGUCGCUAGUAAUCGCAGAUCAGCAACGCUGCGGUGAAUACGUUCCUGGG
rnacentral:rRNA from 1 species